rnacentral:rRNA from 1 species
AUACGGAGGGUGCAAGCGUUACUCGGAAUCACUGGGCGUAAAGCGCGCGUAGGCGGCUUGAUAAGUCGGAUGUGUAAUCCCCGGGCUUAACCUGGGAAUUGCGUUCGAUACUGUCAGGCUAGAGUGUGGUAGAGGGAAGUGGAAUUUCCGGUGUAGCGGUGAAAUGCGUAGAUAUCGGAAAGAACAUCAGUGGCGAAGGCGGCUUCCUGGAUCAACACUGACGCUGAGGUGCGAAAGCGUGGGGAGCAAACAGGAUUAGAAACCCCUGUAGUCC